rnacentral:rRNA from 1 species
AAUUUCACACGGAUCUCUGCUCUCGCAUCGAUGAAGACGCAGCGAAUGCGAUAAGUAAUGUGAAUUGCAGAUUCAAUGAAUCAUCGAAUCUUUGAACGCACCUUGCGCUCCUUGGUAUCCUCGGAGCAUGCCUGUUUGAGUAUCA